rnacentral:rRNA from 1 species
AAUGAACGUUGGCGGCGUGGAUUAGGCAUGCAAGUCGCGCGAGAAGUCAUUUAGCUUGCUAAAAGGCGGACAGCGGCGGAAGGGAGAGUAACGCGUGGUUAUGUACCCUCGAGACCGGGAUAGUGUCGGGAAACUGGCAGUAAUACCGGAUAACAUCUUCGGAUCAAAUGGUGUGAUUCCGCUCGAGGAUCGGACCGCGUACUAUUAGCUAGUUGGCGGGGUAAUAGCCCACCAAGGCUUAGAUGGUUACCGGGUGUGAGAGCAUGGCCCGGCUCAAUGGGACUGAGACACUGCCCAGACAUCUACGGAUGGCUGCAGUCGAGAAUCUUCGGCAAUGGACGAAAGUAUGACCGAGCGACGCCGCGUGCGGGAUGAAGGCCCUCGGGUUGUAAACCGCUGUCAGUUAGGAGGAAAUCCAUGAGGGUACUCUCUCAUGGUUGACCGAUUUUCAGAGGAAGGACGGGCUAAGUUCGUGCCAGCAGCCGCAGUAACAC